rnacentral:rRNA from 1 species
AAAUUGAAGAGUUUGAUCAUGGCUCAGAUUGAACGCUGGCGGCAGGCCUAACACAUGCAAGUCGAGCGGUAGCACAGAGAGCUUGCUCUCGGGUGACGAGCGGCGGACGGGUGAGUAAUGUCUGGGAAACUGCCUGAUGGAGGGGAUAACUACUGGAAACGGUAGCUAAUACCGCAUAACGUCGCAAGACCAAAGUGGGGGACCUUCGGGCCUCAUGCCAUCAGAUGUGCCCAGAUGGGAUUAGCUAGUAGGUGGGGUAACGGCUCACCUAGGCGACGAUCCCUAGCUGGUCUGAGAGGAUGACCAGCCACACUGGAACUGAGACACGGUCCAGACUCCUACGGGAGGCAGCAGUGGGGAAUAUUGCACAAUGGGCGCAAGCCUGAUGCAGCCAUGCCGCGUGUGAAGAAGGCCUUCGGGUUGUAAAGCACUUUCAGCGGGGAGGAAGGCGUAAGGUUAAUAACCUCGAUUGACGUUACCCGCAGAAGAAGCACCGGCUAACUCCGUGCCAGCAGCCGCGGUAAUACGGAGGGUGCAAGCGUUAAUCGGAAUUACUGGGCGUAAAGCGCACGCAGGCGGUCUGUCAAGUCGGAUGUGAAAUCCCCGGGCUCAACCUGGGAACUGCAUUCGAAACUGGCAGGCUAGAGUCUUGUAGAGGGGGUAGAAUUCCAGGUGUAGCGGUGAAAUGCGUAGAGAUCUGGAGGAAUACCGGUGGCGAAGGCGGCCCCCUGGACAAAGACUGACGCUCAGGUGCGAAAGCGUGGGGAGCAAACAGGAUUAGAUACCCUGGUAGUCCACGCCGUAAACGAUGUCGAUUUGGAGGUUGUGCCCUUGAGGCGUGGCUUCCGGAGCUAACGCGUUAAAUCGACCGCCUGGGGAGUACGGCCGCAAGGUUAAAACUCAAAUGAAUUGACGGGGGCCCGCACAAGCGGUGGAGCAUGUGGUUUAAUUCGAUGCAACGCGAAGAACCUUACCUGGUCUUGACAUCCACAGAACUUUCCAGAGAUGGAUUGGUGCCUUCGGGAACUGUGAGACAGGUGCUGCAUGGCUGUCGUCAGCUCGUGUUGUGAAAUGUUGGGUUAAGUCCCGCAACGAGCGCAACCCUUAUCCUUUGUUGCCAGCGGUCCGGCCGGGAACUCAAAGGAGACUGCCAGUGAUAAACUGGAGGAAGGUGGGGAUGACGUCAAGUCAUCAUGGCCUUACGACCAGGGCUACACACGUGCUACAAUGGCAUAUACAAAGAGAAGCGACCUCGCGAGAGCAAGCGGACCUCAUAAAGUAUGUCGUAGUCCGGAUUGGAGUCUGCAACUCGACUCCAUGAAGUCGGAAUCGCUAGUAAUCGUAGAUCAGAAUGCUACGGUGAAUACGUUCCCGGGCCUUGUACACCGCCCGUCACACCAUGGGAGUGGGUUGCAAAGAAGUAGGUAGCUUAACCUUCGGGAGGGCGCUUACCACUUUGUGAUUCAUGACUGGGGUGAAGUCGUAACAAGGUAACCGUAGGGGAACCUGCGGUUGGAUCACCUCCUUACCUUAAAGAA